CUGGGAAGGAGCUAGACAGUGCUUUUUUCAAAUGUAUAAACAUUUCAGACGUAUUAAAAUAUUGAGAAAAUCUUUGAGAUUCUAGGCAUUCAAUUAAGUGUCGAUAUUGUUUUUGACGGUAUAUUCAUUACACAGAGUUAGGAAGAAGCGAUACAGUUUGUUUUCAAAUAUAUAAACAUUUCAGACAUGAAUAUUGAGAAAAUCUUUGAGAUUCUACGCAAUAUAUAAAUUGAUGUUUUGUAUUUUACCGGCAUACUUGCGAAAAGCUGAAAAUGACUCAUGAAAAGCAACUUGAUCUUGGGAAUAUAAAGUCAAAGGUCAAUGAGACUUGUUAUUGUGAUACAUGUCUGUCACAAUUAGGUUAAAAUGCGGAUGCGGAACGGAGCGGGUCCACGCAGCGGAUGCGGAACGGAUAUGGGGAUAAAAUGCGGAACGGAAAUGGGGAUAAAAUGCGUCAUAAUGUGUUUUUCGCCUCAUUUUGACGUUUCUGGGUUUUUUAUUUAUGUUAUUUUGUAAUGGAUGCAACGUCGUAUUAACUAAUUAUACAGCUAUUUCAAUUAAUGAGUACUCACUGAGGCAAUAGUGAAAUGUGCAAUAUGGGCGCGGAAAGGAUAAUGGGAAUAAUCAUAGUUUUAAAUAAGUUUAGUAUAUCAGUAGCCUCAUGGGGAUACGUUCAGCGACAGCUCCCAAUGCAAAAUUAAUGUAGUUUUAGAAUAUACAAAAUUUGGUUGUUGGUGAAACAAUUUAAAUUUCGAAAACAUAGAAUACCAAUGUAUUCCUUCUUUUCCACUAAAAAACUAUUCGCAGAUAUCUUAUUAAUAACAAAUUAAAUAAUAAUUUUCAAUUAGAUUUGCUGUUUUGUUUUAAAAUGCAUGCGUUUGUUUUUACGUAUACGGGAAAAUAAUAGACCGCUUUAAAGUGGUUCUCAGCCAAUCACAGUCCGCCAUUUCACCGGAAGUGAAGUUUACCAUAUAAAUAAUAGCCAAUAUAUAGCUCCCAAUGAUACAUUAACCUAGAAAGUUAAAACUAAC